GUCGGCAGCUAGCUCUCUGCAAAUCUCACAAGGUUUCCCACUGAAGCUAAGCAGGGCUGUGCCUUGUGAGAACCUGUAUGGGAGACCACAUGGGAAAGCUAGGUUGUUGCCGGAA
ensembl:rRNA 5S_rRNA 5S ribosomal RNA